rnacentral:tRNA from 6 species
GCCCGGGUGGCGGAAUUGGUAUACGCGCACGACUUAAAAUCGUGUCUCGAAAGGGAUGCGGGUUCGACUCCCGCCCCGGGCA